rnacentral:tRNA from 16 species
GUCCCGUUAGCUCAGUUGGUAGAGCACUUGACUUUUAAUCAAGGUGUCAAAGGUUCGAAUCCUUUACGGGACACCA